rfam:Arabis alpina cultivar Pajares Aa.chr3_contig_1346, whole genome shotgun sequence.
AUAGCUUCCGAAUAACGAGAAAGUGAAAUAUAGGAACACUUUCUGGUUCAGACAGAGGCUUAUAUCAAAACUCUCGAAUCAGUUUUUGAUGGUGAAAAAACUUUUUUUGCCAUCAUCAAACUUUCUUCCUUUUAUUGGAUAGAUUCGAAUAUUU